rnacentral:rRNA from 1 species
GUUGGGUAGGGGAGCGUUCUGUAAGCCUGCGAAGGUGUACUGUGAGGUAUGCUGGAGGUAUCAGAAGUGCGAAUGCUGACAUAAGUAACGAUAAUGCGGGUGAAAAACCCGCACGCCGGAAGACCAAGGGUUCCUGUCCAACGUUAAUCGGGGCAGGGUGAGUCGACCCCUAAGGCGAGGCUGAAAAGCGUAGUCGAUGGGAAACGGGUUAAUAUUCCCGUACUGGUGGUAACUGCGAUGGGGGAACGGAGAAGGCUAGGUUGUCCGGGCGACGGUCGUCCCGGUUCAAGCAGGUAGGCAGAGUGAUUAGGCAAAUCCGGUCACUUAAUGCUGAGAUGUGAUGACGAACCACCAAGGUGGUGAAGCAAUUGAUGCCCCGCUUCCAGGAAAAGCCUCUAAGCUUCAGGUUACCAACAAUCGUACCCCAAACCGACACAGGUGGUCAGGUAGAGAAUACUCAGGCGCUUGAGAGAACUCGGGUGAAGGAACUAGGCAAAAUGGUGCCGUAACUUCGGGAGAAGGCACGCUGGCGGUAGGUAAAGUCCCUCGCGGACAGAGCUGAAGCCAGUCGAAGAUACCAGCUGGCUGCAACUGUUUAUUAAAAACACAGCACUGUGCAAACACGAAAGUGGACGUAUACGGUGUGACGCCUGCCCGGUGCUGGAAGGUUAAUUGAUGGGGUUAGCGCAAGCGAAGCUCCUGAUCGAAGCCCCAGUAAACGGCGGCCGUAACUAUAACGGUCCUAAGGUAGCGAAAUUCCUUGUCGGGUAAGUUCCGACCUGCACGAAUGGCGUAAUGAUGGCCAGGCUGUCUCCACCCGAGACUCAGUGAAAUUGAACUCGCUGUGAAGAUGCAGUGUACCCGCGGCAAGACGGAAAGACCCCGUGAACCUUUACUAUAGCUUGACACUGAACAUUGAGCCUUGAUGUGUAGGAUAGGUGGGAGGCUUUGAAGUGUGGACGCCAGUCUGCAUGGAGCCAACCUUGAAAUACCACCCUUUAACGUUUGAUGUUCUAACCUAGGCCCAUAAACUGGGUCGGGGACCGUGUCUGGUGGGUAGUUUGACUGGGGCGGUCUCCUCCUAAAGAGUAACGGAGGAGCACGAAGGUUGGCUAAGCAUGGUCGGACAUCAUGCGGUUAGUGCAAAGGCAUAAGCCAGCUUGACUGCGAGAGUGACGGCUCGAGCAGGUACGAAAGUAGGUCUUAGUGAUCCGGUGGUUCUGAAUGGAAGGGCCAUCGCUCAACGGAUAAAAGGUACUCCGGGGAUAACAGGCUGAUACCGCCCAAGAGUUCAUAUCGACGGCGGUGUUUGGCACCUCGAUGUCGGCUCAUCACAUCCUGGGGCUGAAGUAGGUCCCAAGGGUAUGGCUGUUCGCCAUUUAAAGUGGUACGCGAGCUGGGUUUAGAACGUCGUGAGACAGUUCGGUCCCUAUCUGCCGUGGGCGUUGGAAGAUUGAGAGGGGUUGCUCCUAGUACGAGAGGACCGGAGUGAACGCACCACUGGUGUUCGGGUUGUCAUGCCAAUGGCAUUGCCCGGUAGCUAAGUGCGGAAGAGAUAACCGCUGAAAGCAUCUAAGCGGGAAACUUGCCUCGAGAUGAGUCUUCCCUGUCGCUUUAAGCGACCUAAAGGAACGUUUAAGACUAAGACGUUGAUAGGCUGGGUGUGUAAGCGUAGCGAUACGUUGAGCUAACCAGUACUAAUGAACCGUGAGGCUUAACCUG